GCAACAAACGGGCGCCGCUUCACGGCUCUACUUUAUAUAAACUACGCCCCCCGGAGCGUCGCGGCGCUGCGCGCGCCCGCCCACAGCUGUUGCUUCAAUCAAUAACUACCAAACGGCGAGUCGCGCGACCUCUCUCCACCCUCGGCCACAACACUCGUCUAUUAUUCAGACGUCACCGUCAAUAUUUACCGCCACCCCCAACCUCAAAACGACCCAAUUUACCCUCAAUCUUCACCCAAACCAUCUCUUGCGUCUCCGAAAUGCUUUAUCACAUCCCGGAAUCCUAUAAUUAAUCCUUUCUCUCCAGAAACGCUUUCAUCUUCUGUCGUCAAAAACUUACCUACAAUAAGAUGCUUACAACAACCACCACCUGUAACCUCUUAGAAAUUCAAUGUCAACGUACAAAAUCAUUAUCCAUAACUAAAUAUAUGUUGGAAUUCAAUUUUGUUCUUUUGGUCAACUUGAAAGUCCACAAUCGACUUGUAUACAUAUGCACGACUUAUUUUUUGUGCAUGGCAAGGUUGCGUAGCAGAUUGGUAUUUUGCAGAAAGAUAUGCUGCCUUUGCAUCUUUGCUGUGGCUUUAAAUACCAAAAAGGAUCCGCACGUCCAGAUAUAAGCCAUCAAAAAGAUCGCGUCUGAAUGAAAUUUUUUUGUAUUGUGUGGGGAUGAAUGUAGAUAUAUCAUAUUUAAACAACAAACAUACAUGUAAUACAGAACGAAAAGGGAUAAUAAAAAGGAUUCUCGUCAUAGAAAUAUGGAAAAGUUAGAAUAAGAACAAGCCUAAAGACACAGUUGAUUUUAUCUAGAAUUACUAGAAAAUGGAGCAAAAAUAAAAAGUGAUUUAUAAAGGUCACAAAAUUAAUUGACUAUCCACAUGCUUCACGGUCUGUUGGGAAAAACAGGGUCUACAGUUCGUUAACCCUCGAAAAUGUGUAUUAUUGCUCCUGCUUAAUAUGAGGGUCACGUAGAUAGGUCUCGGAGGAAACAAAAGGUUAAGGAACAAAAGCACUAAACAAUAAUUAAAUUCAAAGGAAGGAUAAUAAUCUUGGAAAAUAUAACACGAAACUGUUUUCCUUUAUGAAAUGGUUUAAAAGUGUUAACGGUUACGGCAAAUAAAAUUAGCCGGUUGAAUACGUUCCGAAAGAGGGGAUUUUUUGUCAGAAACGAACAAAAUCGACCUAUAAAAAGUCUAACGAUUGAACCAUGACACCAGUGAAGGUUGAUCAGCGAUCAAAAUGAGGAACAUCAUAGUGUUAUUAACGUUUUUUAUAAUAUUCUCUUGUGGACAUUGCGGAUUAUAUCAAAAUUAUGCGCCAAUAAACACCCCCGGAAGAUUUUACGGUACUCCGUAUCGUUUUCAAAACGGGGGAUUUUCCGGAUCUAACGCAAAUUCACAAAGCCAAGGUUUUGGCGGAUUUUCCAAUUCAAAUUCAGGAAGUAAAGCGGGUUCUUUAGGCGGCGGUUCUGGAUUUUCAAAAUCGCAAUCAUCUGCGAAUUCAGGUUCAUUCUCGAAAAAUGGGGCAUCCGGAUCGUUUUCAUCCAGCAGCAGUUCGAGCCGUAGUUUUGCGGGAAACUUUGGAAGAUUCGGUCAGGUGCAGCAUUAAGAGCAGGAUUUUAAAAUAAAUUAUGUAACGAUAAAUAAAACUCAAUUAAAAUUUUA